UACAGAGGGUGCAAGCGUUAUUCGGAAUUACUGGGCGUAAAGCGCAUGUAGGUUGGAUAUCAAGUCAGGUGUGAAAUUCCGGGGCUCAACUUCGGAAUGGCAUUUGAGACUGAUUGUUCUUGAGUAUUGGAGAGGGAGGUGGAAUUCCAGGUGUAGAGGUGAAAUUCGUAGAUAUCUGGAGGAACAUCGGAGGCGAAGGCGGCUUCCUGGCCAAUAACUGACACUGAGAUGCGAAAGCGUGGGUAGCAAACAGG
rnacentral:rRNA from 1 species